GGUUCGGUGGUGUAGUUGGUUUAUCACGUCAGUCUAACAUCCAAGAUCGUCUGCGAUCGCGGGUUUCACUGAAGGUCGGGAGUUCGAGCCUCCCCUGAAUCA
rnacentral:tRNA from 2 species